rnacentral:lncRNA from 1 species
UUGUGGAGAGUUGAGUGCUUCACGACCAUCGGUGAUGGUGGAUCUUGGGUUUGUUUCUCUUGUGCAGUAGGUGAAAAAUCUGACAGAGGCUAUCCAAGGUCUCCAGCAAUAACAACAGCAGUAACAGCGGCUGAAAGAGAUCACAUCGUGUGAUGCACCUUCCAGGUGCAGUCACAGAUCGUGAUCUCCAACUUGCCACUCUA